rnacentral:rRNA from 1 species
UGGCGAAAGGGUGAGUAACACGUGGGUUACCUGCCCUAGGGAUUGGGAUAACCCGUCGAAAGACGGGCUAAUACCGGAUACGACCCGACAUCAAUUCGAUGUCGGGUGAAAGAUGGGGAUCCGCAAGGACCUAUCACCCUUGGAUGGGCCCGCGGCCUAUCAGCUAGUUGGUGAGGUAACGGCUCACCAAGGCGAAGACGGGUAGCUGGUCUGAGAGGAUGGUCAGCCACACUGGGACUGAGACACUGCCCAGACUCCUACGGGAGGCUGCAGUCGAGAAUCUUUCGCAAUGGGGGAAACCCUGACGGAGCGACGCCGCGUGCAGGAUGAAGGCCUUCGGGUUGUAAACUGCUGUCAGCUGGGAAGAAAAAGUCCGCCACGAAUAAUGGCGGAUUCUGACGGUACCAGCAGAGGAAGCCACGGCUAACUCUGUGCCAGCAGCCGCGGUAAUACAGAGGGUGCGAGCGUUGUCCGGAAUCACUGGGCGUAAAGGGCGCGUAGGCGGCCGGGUAAGUAGGGGGUGAAAUCCCGUGGCUCAACUGCGGGGCUGCCUUCUAGACUGCCUGGCUCGAGCGCGGUAGAGGCCGGUGGAAUUCCCGGUGUAGCGGUGGAAUGCGUAGAGAUCGGGAGGAACAUCGGUGGCGAAGGCGGCCGGCUGGGCCGUUGCUGACGCUGAGGCGCGACAGCGUGGGGAGCAAACAGGAUUAGAUACCCUGGUAGUCCACGCCGUAAACGAUGGGUACUAGGCGCCGGGGGGAGCGACCCUCUCGGUGCCGGCGCUAACGCAUUAAGUACCCCGCCUGGGGAGUACGGUCGCAAGACUGAAACUCAAAGGAAUUGACGGGGGCCCGCACAAGCGGUGGAGCAUGUGGUUCAAUUCGAAGCAACGCGAAGAACCUUACCUGGGCUUGACAUGCACGGGAAAGCCGGUGGAAACAUCGGUCCCUCUUC